AUCCGAAUCCGUAGAAAUGAUUUGAGAAAGGAGUGAUAUGAGCUCCGACAGUGGGCUCAGCUCGGGAUUUAAAUCCAUGGAGUCAAAGAGUGAGAUUGCUUGAGUAACUAGUGACAUGAACU
rnacentral:sRNA from 1 species